rnacentral:sRNA from 1 species
CUCUGAUCGAACUCGUCGAUCACAUCCAUCCUGGAUGUGCCGAGCACGAAGAGA